rnacentral:rRNA from 1 species
AUACCCUAUUAUUUUUAAUGUAAAUUAAUAACCGGAGUAUUAUUAGUUAAAACUUGAAACUUAAAGAAUUUGGCGGUAUUAUAGUCUAUUUAGAGGAAUCUGUUAUGUAAUCGAUAAUCCUCGUUGAACCUUACUUAUAUUAGUUCUUGUAUACCGCUGUUUAAUGAAUCUAUUUUUAGGUUAAUUUUCUUAAAAAAGGAUUAAUUUGGAUUUCAAGUCAAGGUGCAGUUAUAUGUGAGAUGAAUAAUGGAUUACAAUAAACUUUAUUUAUAUGGAUAUUUUUUGAUUAAUAAACUUGAAGGUGGAUUUAGUUGUAAUUUUUUUAAGAGUAUUAAAAUGAUUAUAGCUCUAUAAUAUGUACACAUCGCCC